rnacentral:rRNA from 1 species
GACGAACGCUGGCGGCGUGCUUAACACAUGCAAGUCGAACGGUGAAGCGCCUUCCUUUUUGGUGGGUGUGGAUGAGUGGCGAACGGGUGAGUAACACGUGAGUAACCUGCCCCCUUCUUCUGGAUAACCGCAUGAAAGUGUGGCUAAUACGGGAUAUUCUGGGUCUGUCGCAUGAUGGGUCUGGGAAAGAUAUUGUUUCGGUGGGGGAUGGGCUCGCGGCCUAUCAGCUUGUUGGUGGGGUGAUGGCCUACCAAGGCGGUGACGGGUAGCCGGCCUGAGAGGGUGGACGGUCACACUGGGACUGAGCCACGGCCCAGACUCCUACGGGAGGCAGCAGUGUGGAAUAUUGCACAAUGGGCGCAAGCCUGAUGCAGCGACGCCGCGUGAGGGAUGGAGGCCUUCGGGUUGUGAACCUCUUUCGCCAGUGAAGCAGGCCUGCCUCGUUUGUGGGUGGGUUGACGGUAGCUGGAUAAAAAGCGCCGGCUAACUACGUG